UACAGAGGGGGCAAGCGUUGUUCGGAAUUACUGGGCGUAAAGGGCGCGUAGGCGGCCUUCUAAGUCGAACGUGAAAUCCCCGGGCUCAACCCGGGAACUGCGUCCGAUACUGGAAGGCUUGAAUCCGGGAGAGGGAAGUGGAAUUCCCGGUGUAGUGGUGAAAUGCGUAGAUAUCGGGAGGAACACCAGUGGCGAAGGCGACUUCCUGGCCUGUUCUUGACGCUGAGGCGCGAAAGCUAGGGGAGCAAACGGG
rnacentral:rRNA from 1 species